CUAAAGAUCUUAUUAUUCGGGACGGGCAAAUUUUACCGUCCCUAAUAACAACCUUUACGGACGGUCAAUUUGAUACGUCACCAAACCUCAAAAACCCGUCCCUAAAAACGUUUCUUUUUGGCACAGUCUAUCUAAGACCGUCCCUAGUUCCACAAAAAAAAAAAAAAAUAGCGCCAAACUUAGUGCUUCAAUUUUCUUUUGUUUAGCGCUAUUGUACGCGGGCAAAAAUGAAACAUAUAAAAUUAUUUUAUUUUACAAAAUAGGGAAGCCCAUCAAACUACGUUGUUUUAAUCUAAAAAAAUUUAGUAAACCCUAUAUCAUUUGCAAACCUCUUACACCGUCACAAACCUCUUCAGUUCUUCGAUCUCAAAAGUUGCAGACGUCUUCCACCGGCACGAAAUCUGAAGACCAUACCUCUUAAUCAAACAUUCUUUGGGCUUGAUUUUCACCGAAUUCAAUAGCACCUAUUCAAAGCGUCUUCAAUCUUUAGCGAAUCACAAGAUCAUAAUCCUGAGGUACAACGUUUUUAUUUUUUAAAAAAUUUAGGGAUUAUUCAAAUUUGAGCCUCUUUCUUCGAUUUUCAGAAAACCUCCAUGUUCGAUUUGACGUUCAUAUAACCCACUUGGGUUUCAUGAUCCUCACCCUAGUUUUUUCUAGGGUUUCGAAAUUGCAAAAGGCCUAACAAUUGAAGGGGUAAAUUACAAAUCUAGAAAAGGCUUGUCGUUUGAGUCUGAAUCGCUGCAGAAAAUCAUACAGGAGCUGCUCUUACUUAAGAAGAUGAGAAGAAAAUUGCCCCUUUCUGACUAUCCCUUUUCUUCAAGAAGCUUGUACUUUGCUUUCUUUUGUUAUAGCUUGUGGAGAGUGCAUUAAUAUGAAAGUGGACAGAUGAUCAACGUCAUCGCCUGUUUCUCGGCUUCCACUAGAGUAACAAAAAACAAUAGUCUGAAAGGAAGGUAUCUAUAGAAGUAGACUGAAAAGAAUGAUAAUGACAGAUAAGUCACAUAAUUCUAAUGCCUCUUUGUUCUUGCGUAGAAGUCUUUAUAUUGACUUAAUGGAAUUCAACUUUAGAGGUCAAUCAGAUGUGUUUGAUAAUGGGUCAUCCGGAGAUAAUUCUGAGGAUUCAAUGUUUGAUAUUGAGAACCCUAAAAGGUCUGAGCUAUCAAUUUAGCAUCCAAGAUCAAAUGUGCAUCAAGACAAUGACUCUCAUGGGCUUUUGAAUGAGCAACCCUUCAAGCCUAUUCUUUAUUUGGAAAAAGAUGUACCAAACCUUGACCACGAAGAAUAUCCAUUUCCAGGAAAGGGCUUGAGCAUGACUUAGGACAGGUUAUACACCUAAUUUAUUUAUUUAUUUAUUUUGUUUAUACUCAUGUCAAAUACUUGUAAUUUUUUUUUAAUACAGAAAAUUAAAAAAUUACCAGGUUAAGAGAUCAGGUUUUUUGUUUUAGGGUUGGAAACUUCUUGAUAUGAUGUUCGCUACAAGGCACAGCAUAUCUGAUGCAUGCACUUCUAUAGCUAAACAGCUUGAGAAUGUUUACUCAUCGGUUUCGGUAAGUUUAUUUCCUCACAACUAGUCCGUCAUUAAUUAUCAUGUUAAGGCUAAUACUUAAUAAAACAGUUCUAGUAAAUGAUGAAAUUAUUUAUGCAACAACAUCCCCUCAAUAUUCACAUGUCAUAAGGAAAAUGAUGUUUGUUGAUAGUGUUCUAUGUUAUGUGUUGCUCUGAUGUACUAGAGAUAGGUAGCUCAGCUCAGUUUAUCCUUUGUGAUAUGAUUCCGGUCCAGAAUAUAGUAGGUCCUCCGCUAAGCGUGGGAAGCACCUUUGGGUUGGAAGAGAAGGUAGAUACAAUUCAGAAGCUACUUGAGUAGCAACAGCAGCUGCAGCAACAACAUUUUCAUGACUGCAUUCAGUUUAAAAUGAUGUUUUAAUUUUUGAGGAUGUUUGAAACCAUUUGAUGUUAAAACAGCUAGUAGAUACUUUUUAGUUCUUGUUUACAAAACUGGAGAAUUUGUAACUUCUUCGUGAGAUUAAGAGCUCGUUUGUUGGCAUUGUAUUGUGGUGAUAAUAUAUAUUUUUCUUUCUCGAAUGA